UGUGCCUCAGUAGGUGGCAGGUGUGAGUCAGUGGGUGACAGGUGUGCCUCAGUAGGUGGCAGGAAGGAGAGGAACCAUGUCUAUGCUCAGUGUUCUGACUUUUGAACAUCCGAAUGAUUAGUAACCUAACAUU